ACAACCUGCCCUUUAGUUGGGAAUAACUCAGCGAAAGUUGGGCUAAUACCGAAUGACGUCGCGUCUCCUCGGAGAUCGUGACCAAAGAUGGCCUCUGCAUGCAAGCUAUCGCUAAAGGAGGGGUUCACUUCCCAUUAGCUUGUUGGUGAGGUAACGGCUCACCAAGGCUGCGAUGGGUAGCCGGCCUGAGAGGGUGAUCGGCCACACUGGAACUGAGACACGGUCCAG
rnacentral:rRNA from 1 species